rnacentral:lncRNA from 1 species
AUUGGUGAACGUAUAAUAUCCGUAUAAAUCACGUAUCCGAAUAAUUACCAAAUCCGUUUUUUAGCCGUAUUUUUCAACAAAUUUAAAAAUUAAAAGACAAAUUUUAUCCGAAUUAUACCCGUACCGAAUUUUUGCCGAAUCCGAAUUAACUAACUAUGCUUGGGCCUAGCCACCACCCAAAAUACUUAAGUCGAGUUAAAAGUUCUAGUCCUAUUAUAUCUUUUAUAUAGGACUACAUGGGGUCUCACAGAACUUGAAAUCAAGGAUUCAAGUGCCUAUCGGCAUGGGUCGCAUCAACCGUACCGUAUUGUGCCAGCAAGAUAUUGGCACGAUAUUUUUUAAAUUAGUAAGUAAUUUUUUUAAUAAAAUUCAAAAAUUUUGAUAAAAAUACAUAUAAAUA